rnacentral:rRNA from 1 species
UAAUACGGAGGAUGCAAGCGUUAUCCGGAUUUAUUAGGUUUAAAGGGUGCGUAGGCGGAAGCUUAAGUCAGUGGUAAAAGGCAAUAGCUUAACUACUGUAAGCCAUUGAUACUGGGUUUCUUGAGUACGGUAGAGGUAGGCGGAAUGUGUUGUGUAGCGGUGAAAUGCAUAGAUAUAACACAGAACACCGAUUGCGAAGGCAGCUUACUAUGCCGUUACUGACGCUGAUGCACGAAAGCGUGGGGAUCAAACAGGAUUAGAUACCCUGGUAGUCCACGCUGUAAACGAUGAUCACUCGUUGUUGGCGAUACACCGUCAGCGACUGAGCGAAAGCAUUAAGUGAUCCACCUGGGGAGUACGUUCGCAAGAAUGAAACUCAAAUGAAUUGACGG